CAUAGGUUUCUCCGAUGGCGAUUCAAAACCAAAAGAGAAAGGAGAAACCAAAAGAAAAAGAACAUAGCCCUCUACAAUCUUCAUUCGCUUAUUAAUUCCUUGUUCUUCUUCAUUUUUCUAAAGUAUUCGUCGGUUUUGAAAUUUUUUAAAAAACAAAAAAAACAAAAGGAUUCUUCGAUGUCGAUUCAGCGGCCACAAGAGAUAGACUGCGACUCGUUCCUCUCAGAUCGGAACAGUUUGUAUGUUGUUUCCCAGACAAAAUAAUCAGAUAUCGGACAUAUCUGAAGCAAUAUCCGAUGAAAAAAUGGAUAAUAAACCUUCUAAGGUGUUAACAAAUUGUGUCCUUAUGUUCGUUGAUGAAGUAAACGUCAUAAGUUUCUUAAUAAGAAGUUCAAAGAAGGCUGGAGAGUAUGUGUCUGCAUAAAAAGAGAGUUUCACGCUAAGCUGGAAAAACAUAAAUCAGAUAAGUAAAAAACAUUGUACAUUUAUUCUGUGUAAUUUUUUUUUUGGUUUGAUGUUAAUCACUUACGGUUUAUUUUGUUUUUUUCUUGUAGGAUCUUACAAUAAAUGAAGGAUCAGAGGAAGAAGUAUGUGAAUUUGGUUGAGUCAGUGAAAGAUUCAGGAGGAGAGGAUGAACUUGAUUUGGAUGAGUCAUUGUUUCAGGGGAAAAGUUGGCACAACUCACUGGGAUUGCAGCUCUUCUCAAUUUACCAUUACCAGACCUCGAAGACAUUGCAGCUCUUUUCAGCAACUCACUGGCCCAACUCACUGGGUUUGCAGCUCUUCUCAGCUCAUCUCAGCUCUUCUCAUGUGUCUGCGCUAAAUGAAAGAUUAUAAAAGCUUACAUUCGACUAUAAGAUCUACAUCAAGCGUAAGAGAAGACAAUGUUCUGCAUUACAGUGAAAGGUUAAGAAAGAUGUUGUCAUCUCGGUGAGAAGAUUCAGUGAUUUUGGUGUUGCCAUUCAAAGCUAUACGAUAUUUAUGAUUAGUUGAUCUGAAGGCUCCUCCAGCAGCACUUACACUGAAACGAUCUAUGUUUCUCCAUAAUCCAACACGAAGAUGUUUGCCCAAUUCACCAAGGAACUAUUGAAGAACACAUUUAUCUCUCGGAUAACAGGAGUUACAUGGUACUAAUGCAAAUA